AGUGAACGCUGGCGGCAGGCCUAACACAUGCAAGUCGAGCGGCAGCGCGUCCGACCACCCUCGGGUGGUCGGAUGGCGGCGAGCGGCGGACGGGUGAGGAAUGCAUCGGAAUCUGCCUCGUUGUGGGGGAUAACGUAGGGAAACUUACGCUAAUACCGCAUACGACCUACGGGUGAAAGUGGGGGACCUUCGGGCCUCACGCGAUGAGAUGAGCCGAUGCCGGAUUAGCUAGUUGGCGGGGUAAAGGCCCACCAAGGCGACGAUCCGUAGCUGGUCUGAGAGGAUGAUCAGCCACACUGGAACUGAGACACGGUCCAGACUCCUACGGGAGGCAGCAGUAGGGAAUAUUGGACAAUGGGGGCAACCCUGAUCCAGCCAUGCCGCGUGAGUGAAGAAGGCCCUCGGGUUGUAAAGCUCUUUUGUCCGGAAAGAAAAGCAAUCGGUUAAUACCCGGUUGUUCUGACGGUACCGGAAGAAUAAGCACCGGCUAACUUCGUGCCAGCAGCCGA
rnacentral:rRNA from 1 species